rnacentral:rRNA from 1 species
CCUACGGGGUGCAGCAGUAGGGAAUCUUUCACAAUGGGCGAAAGCCUGAUGGAGCAACGCCGCGUGCAGGAUGAAGGCCUUCGGGUUGUAAACUGCUUUUAUAAGCGAGAAAUACGUUGGUAACUUAUGAAUAAGCAUCGGUUAACUACGUGCCAGCAGCGGCGGUCUUACGUAGGAUCCGAGCAUUAUCCGGAGUGACUGGGUGUAAAGAGUUGCGUAGGUGGGAUAAUAAGUAGCUAGUGAAAUCUGGUGGCUCAACCAUUCAGACUAUUAGCGAAACUGUUAAGCUCGAGACCGUUAGGGGUAACUGGAAUUUCUGGUGUAGGAGUGAAAUGCGUAGAUAUUAGAAGGAACACCGAUAGCGUAGGCAGGUUGCUGGGACGGUUCUGACGCUAAGGCACGAAAGCGUAGGGAGCAAACGGGAUUAGAUACACCUGUAGUC